rnacentral:rRNA from 1 species
AACGAACGCUGGCGGCAUGCCUAACACAUGCAAGUCGAACGAGACCUUCGGGUCUAGUGGCGCACGGGUGCGUAACGCGUGGGAACCUGCCCUUAGGUUCGGAAUAACUCCCCGAAAGGGGUGCUAAUACCGGAUAAUGUCUUCGGACCAAAGAUUUAUCGCCUUUGGAUGGGCCCGCGUUGUAUUAGCUAGUUGGUAGGGUAAAAGCCUACCAAGGCGACGAUCCAUAGCUGGUCUGAGAGGAUGAUCAGCCACACUGGGACUGAGACACGGCCCAGACUCCUACGGGAGGCAGCAGUGGGGAAUAUUGGACAAUGGGCGAAAGCCUGAUCCAGCAAUGCCGCGUGAGUGAUGAAGGUCUUAGGGUUGUAAAGCUCUUUUACCCGGGAUGAUAAUGACAGUACCGGGAGAAUAAGCUCCGGCUAACUCCGUG